rnacentral:rRNA from 1 species
AGUGAACGCUGGCGGUAGGCCUAACACAUGCAAGUCGAACGGCAGCACAGUAAGAGCUUGCUCUUACGGGUGGCGAGUGGCGGACGGGUGAGGAAUACAUCGGAAUCUACUUUUUCGUGGGGGAUAACGUAGGGAAACUUACGCUAAUACCGCAUACGACCUACGGGUGAAAGCAGGGGAUCUUCGGACCUUGCGCGAUUGAAUGAGCCGAUGUCGGAUUAGCUAGUUGGCGGGGUAAAGGCCCACCAAGGCGACAAUCCGUAGCUGGUCUGAGAGGAUGAUCAGCCACACUGGAACUGAGACACGGUCCAGACUCCUACGGGAGGCAGCAGUGGGGAAUAUUGGACAAUGGGCGCAAGCCUGAUCCAGCCAGACCGCGUGGGUGAAGAAGGCCUUCGGGUUGUAAAGCCCUUUUGUUGGGAAAGAAAAGCAGCAGGUUAAUACCCCGCUGUUCUGACGGUACCCAAAGAAUAAGCACCGGCUAACUUCGG